rnacentral:antisense_RNA from 1 species
CUUGAUCGAGCCGAGCCAUAGCGGCUGAUCGGACGUGUGGUCCUGCCCGUACGUGUUCAGCAGAGCCUGCGCCUC